rnacentral:rRNA from 1 species
GCAUAUCAAUAAGCGGAGGAAAAGAAACCAACAGGGAUUGCCUCAGUAACGGCGAGUGAAGCGGCAACAGCUCAAAUUUGAAAUCUGGCUCCUUCGGGGCCCGAGUUGUAAUUUGCAGAGGAUGCUUCGGGUACGGGUUCCUUCCGAGUUCCCUGGAACGGGACGCCAUAGAGGGUGAGAGCCCCGUCUGGUAGGACACCCAGCCCGUGUGAAGCUCCCUCGACGAGUCGAGUAGUUUGGGAAUGCUGCUCUAACGGGAGGUAUACUCCUUCCAAGGCUAAAUACCGGCUGGAGACCGAUAGCGCACAAGUAGAGUGAUCGAAAGAUGAAAAGCACUUUGAAAAGAGAGUCAAAUAGCACGUGAAAUUGUUGAAAGGGAAGCGCUCGCUACCAGACAUGGGUUCGGCGGUUCAACCGGGGCCACGCCCCGGGGCACUCCGCCGGCCCAGGCCAGCAUCAGCUUUCCGUCGGGGGCAAAGACGUCGGGAAUGUGGCUCCCCUCCGGGGGAGUGUUAUAGCCCGGCGUGUCAUACCCUUCGGGGGGCUGAGGUACGCGCUUCUGCAAGGAUGCUGGCGUAAUGGUAGCUAGUGACCCGUCUUGAAACACGGACCAAGGAGUCAACCUUAUGUGCGAGUGCCCGGGCGUAAAACCCCAGCGCGGAAUGAAAGUGAACGUAGGUGAGAGCUUCGGCGCAUCACCGACCGAUCCUGAUGUCCUCGGACGGAUUUGAGUGAGAGCAUAUAGGGUUGGACCCGAAAGAAGAUGAACUAUGCGUGUGUAGGGUGAAGCCAGAGGAAACUCUGGUGGAGGCUCGCAGCGGUUCUGACGUGCAAAUCGAUCGUCAAACAUGCGCAUGGGGGCGAAAGACUAAUCGAAUCUUCUGGUAGCUGGUUUCCGCCGA